UACGGAGGGUGCAAGCGUUAUCCGGAUUCACUGGGUUUAAAGGGUGCGUAGGUGGCGUGGUAAGUCGGGUGUGAAAUUUCGGAGCUUAACUCCGAAACUGCAUUCGAUACUGCUGUGCUUGAGGACUGGAGAGGAGACUGGAAUUUACGGUGUAGCAGUGAAAUGCGUAGAGAUAGUAAGGAAGACCAGUGGCGAAGGCGGGUCUCUGGACAGUUCCUGACACUGAGGCACGAAGGCCAGGGGAGCAAACGGG
rnacentral:rRNA from 1 species